UUGCUAUAGCAGCACAUAUACUAAAAUUGAAAUGACACACACAGAAGUUUAGCAUGUCUCUGUGUAAGGAUGACACACAAAUUCGUGAAACAUUGGUGUUGAUC